rnacentral:rRNA from 1 species
AACGUAGGAGACAAACGUUAUCCGGAGUUAUUGGGCGUAAAGCGCGCGCAGGCGGGAUGGUAAGUCGGAUGUGAAAGCCCUCGGCUCAACCGAGGAAGUGCGUUCGAAACUACCGUUCUUGAGUGUCGGAGAGGGUGGCGGAAUUCCCGGUGUAGAAGUGAAAUUCGUAGAUAUCGGGAGGAACACCAGUGGCGAAGGCGGCGAUCUGGGUCGAUACUGACGCUGAGGUGCGAAAGCGUGGGGAGCAAACAGG